GGCUCGGUGGGCAACUGGCAGACCACCUUGUUUCAGACACAGGGAUGCUGUGGGUUCGAAUCCCACUCGGGCUA
rnacentral:tRNA from 1 species